rnacentral:lncRNA from 1 species
AAGACUGUGCCACGUACUGUUUAACCGUCCCUUGAAUGAUGGCACUAGCCUCCAUUUUCCGUGCCAUAUCCACUAUAGCAUGGAAACUCUCCCUCUCUGCUGAUUGAAUUAACGAGGAAUACCUGGAGUGAAGCUUCAUAACAUAUCUCCUAGACUUCUUCAGGUCUGUGUCAAGACCUUGUCCUGCAAAUGGCAACAGCUCCAGGAACCUGUCUGUAAACUCAUCUACACUCAUCUCUUAUGUCUGCCUUAGCUGCUCAAACUCAAUCAUCUUCAGUUCUCUAGAACUAUCUGGAAAAGCCCAUCUUGCAAACUCAUUGGCAAACUGCUCCCAGGAUAAGCCUUCCAACUUUGGGUCCACAUAGUUUUUGAACCAUUCCCUUGCCUUCUUGCAUUUCAAUGUGAACCCUGCCAUCUGAAUGGCUCUACUGUCAUUGGCUCCUAAUUCAUCAGUUAUCAUCUUCACCAUUCUGAGGUACUCAAAGGGGUCAUCACCUGAUUCAAACUUGGGGGCAUCCAACUCAAGGUAAUCUAUCAUCUUUACUUUACCCCCAACUGAUGAACCAGGUUUGGGUAUCUGGACAUCAGGGACUAUUGGUUCUGCUGGCGGUGGAAGAGGUGCAGCAUUCCCUGGGUUAGGGUUUGCUGGACUUGGGUAGAAGGAUGAGGAUGGAAACAUAGGGUACUGUGGGUAAGGUGGGUAAAAGGGAGGAUAGGACAUAAAGGUGGGAUAUGGGUUAUAGCUAAAGAAAUCCGAUGUACCUCCCAUCGGAUACCCUAGCCCUUGCGGGUAGGGUGGAUACUGUGGUGGAAUAAAGCCCGAGGCCUGAGUGCCUCCUUGGGACUCUCCCAUAUCCUCUCUUGACAUACUCAUGCCCAAACUACUAUCUCUUCUCUGAUUAUCCUCCUCAGUUUCCAUCACAUCUGCUGACAUACCGUCAUGAACUGAUCUCCUCCGACCUGCAUCAAAAGACCUUCUAGGGUCCCUUGAUGUACCUUCCCUGAUUGUCCUACAAGAUCUUGCCCUCUGCAAAGCAGGGGAAUGGGCAUCCAUGCCCUCAUUCUCUGGCGGAGCUCCAGUCAAUCUAGCAGAUCGACGAGUUCCUCUCAUCUUCACUUCUGGAAGCAUAACAUAUCACAUAAACAUUAGCAUCAUACGGUCCACGUGGAAACACAUGAACCUACCUCACAUACAUAGCAUAACAUUAAUGCACAUGCAUAUCAUCAUGGCAUUUCACAUCAUCAUACAAGAAAGGACUCCACAUCCUAUCCUAGUGGACAUGAUCUUUCCUAUUGUGCUUGCCUUUCUAUAAUGUAAUACCCGGCUAGACUCCGGUAUCAGAAUUCCUACCGUCCGGUGGAAUCUCGAGUGUCGGAGACCUCUAGAAGGGUAAAAGCGUGUUUUCAUAAAAUGUUUUAAUGUGUUUUAUGUUUUUAAUCAAGAAAGAAAUGAGUUUUUGCUUGAAAAUGAUCUUGGAGGAAGACCCAGGUUCGGCCGCCGAACCUCAAGUUCGGCCGCCGAACAUUCAUGCACUUCGGGAGUGCUUUAGGCCCCCGAAAGCAUAAGUGAGGGAAGUUCAGGUUCGGCCGCCGAACCUCAUGUUCGGCCGCCGAACAUGGCAUGCAUGCGGAGGCACGUUCGGCUCCCGAAUGUGGCCUGGCCAGCCACUUAUAAAGGGGUCCCUUAGCCGAAAACGGGCGAGCUUUUCCCCUAUUUUCGGCCAAGGUGAGCUCUCCGCCGUCCCUCACCGAUCUUGAGUUCUUUCCUUCCAAUCUUUCACGAUUUUCACUAGUUUUCACCUUGUUUUGAAGAUUUUUGAGCAAAAGGUCAAGUUUUGAGCUUGGAGACCCAAAGAGCUAAAUCUCUCCCAACUCCAAGUUAGAUCGCCUCUACUUUAGACCUUCAAGAGGUAAGAGUCGAUCUCUAGCUUAUGAUGUGUUUUAAACAAGUUUUAUGCAAGUUUAUGGAAUAGAAAUGCAUGUUUAGGUUGUUUUGAGUUUAUGGGUUUAAUGAGUGUUUUUGAGCAAUGUGGGUAUGUUGAUGUGUUGAAGUUGGGGUUUAGGCUAGUUUGAGACCCCUAUGAACUUGUAUGCUUGAUUGUAAAUGUUUGGGAGUGUUGUAGAAUAGGUUUAUGCAUGUUUGAAAGUUUGGGAGGCGUUUGUGCAUGUUGGAGCUGAGUUUCUGCCACUUUGGAGAAACUCAGGUUCGGCCGCUGAAGGAACUUUCGGCUGCCGAACCCGCUUGUGGAGGCAGCCUUCGGCUGCCGAAGCCUGCCCCCAAAAGAGGACUUUCGUCUCUGGAGGGCAGUUUUGGCCGCCGAAAGUGCCGCCGAACAUGCAUGAGUUUCGUCUCUGCCUGGGAGUUUCGGCCACCGAAGGUGCCGCCGAACCUGCCUGACUUUCGGCUCUUGAGGGACUUUCGGCCGCCGAACCUGCCGCCGAAAGUGCCCUGUCCAGCCCUCUUUUGCAUGUUUUUCUAUGGUUGUUUCAUGAUGUUUUAGGGGGUUUUUGGGAAGUAGUUUAGAGUCGUAUUCAUGUAUGUUUGGUCCCUCAUUUGAGUCCACCUGUGUAGGUUCGGACCCGAGGAACCGAGGACCCCAGCAGUGAGUCAGCUGCUCCAGUGUCUGGUCAGAGCUAUCCAGAGGUGAGUAGGAUAAACCUUUACGUUUUAAAGCGAAUAAAUUAUAAAGUUUCGAGCAUGUUCACGCAUCAUUAAUGCCAUGAGAUAUACUAGGUUGUUUGCAUUAGAAUUCACGAAUAUGUUGCAUUGCAUAUAUUGUUGUUGAUGCGGAUGAAUGUUGGAUGAUCCAUAGCCCUCGACCUAUGAUGUGACGAUAUAGUAUGUACGGUACGGAAUGUAAGACCAGUGGGACCCAUUCUACGUUCGCUGGCACUAUGUAAGAGAAAGACCAGGACCCAUUCUACGUUCUGGCACAUUGGAAUGUUAUGUUAUGCUAUGUAAGGGAAAGACCAGGACCCAUUCUACGUUCUGGCACUAUUGGAUAUGUAGAGGGCUACUGGUGACAAGUUCAUCCUUGAUGUGAUUAGCUGUGAUGUGAUGCAUUCCAUUAAAGCAUGAAAUGUUAAUAUAAUGUUUUUAUUAUUCUGCUCACUGGGCUCUAGUAGCUCACCCCUCUCCCUAAUCCCCCAGGUUUGCAGGUACAGGGUAGACCAGGAGGUCAGCAAGAGUAUUGAAGUUUUGUCUAUGUAAUAGAUAGUGUGGACAUGAAUAAAUAUUGAGAUGUUAUGUUUAGUACAGUUGUAUAAGUACAGUAUAGAAAUGUAAUGUAAUGAUGUUCAUGGAUGAUAGAGGUGUGCUUGACCAUAGAAUGUUGUUAUCCCUUUUAAUACAUGAUCUUAGAUGUUUUAUGAUCAUGUAAACCAACUCAACAUAUGUUAUAUCGCCCAUUGGGGCACCGAUGAGAACCCACAGAGGAGUCAAUGUUUAUGUUUAUGACUAUGUAUAGUACAUGUACAGGUUGAGUUUGGUAAAAGAAUGAAAGGAUGAAUGUAUGAAAGCUAAAGUUUUAAAAUUCUUAUGUAUAGUGUUGAUCAUGUAUGGGAUUAAACAGGUUUACAAGUUGCAUGUCAGGCUUGCUACGGUCCGAUUUUCGGGUCGUUACAUAUAACCUCUAUGAGCCCGACACACUAUAGGUCCGACCAUGUGAACCUAAGGCUCUGAUACCAAUCUGUAACGACCCGCAAAUCGGACCGCUACCGGCGCUAGGAUCCAGAUCGGCAUAAAGCCGCCGGGACCCGUAGCAAGCCUACUAUGCAUCAUGUACAGUCGGUAUAAUCCCCAAACAUGAACAAAUAUUUCCAUAAAACAUUUAAAACUUUACCUUUAACCAGCUUGACCUGUGUAUGCACUAUGACUGAACUCAUAGAACCCCUAGGGUUAGCAUACCCUAGGUCAAACUCAGUCCAACACACACAUCAACAUAAAAUAAAACUCAUAUACAAAGGGAUUAUCCAACUCGGCCCAAGCACAAUAUUAUAACUCUGAACAUAUUACAUAAUAUCGUUUUACAAUACAACUCUUUUACAUCAUUACAUAAACUUACAUUACAUCAUGUCCACUACUAUUCUAUUACACAUCAUAACCAUAGCCAUAGCCUGGUGACUUCCUAAACUAUUUCCGACCCUGCAUACCUGGGGUUAGGGGAGAGGGGUGAGCUAUAAAGCCCAGUGAGCAGAAACCAUACAAGAAAAAUAGUUCAUUUUAAAGUAUGCUAUCAUGGAAUGCAUCACAUAACAAUCAUAUCACAUCAAGGAUGAAUUUGUCACCGAUAGCCCUCUAAAUGCCGUAAUAUGUCCAACUAUACCAGGGGCGAUGAGGCCACACCUAGUAUUCGCUUACAUAACUCAUAUCAUAACAUGUCCAACUACACCAGGGGCGAUUAGGCCUCACCUAGUGUUCGCUUACAUUUAACAUAGUGCCAGGGGCGACCUGGCCUUUCUAUCUCAUAUCAUACCAUGUCAUAUCAUAUCAUUCCAUAUCGUACUGAGGGCUAGGGGAUCAUUCAAGAUUCAUCCACAUCAACAACAUUUUAUGCAAUGCAUCAUAUUCGUGAAUACUAGUGCAAUACAACCUACUACAUAUCAUGGCAUUUUAUGAUGCAUGGAUCAUGCUAAGACAUUCAUUAAUGCUUUCUCAUAUAGAAAAACAUUUAGUUUAGUUCCACUCACCUCUAGCAGACGCUGGACUGACUCUGCAACUGCUAACAGUGAUGGCCUCCUCGGUCCCUCGGGUCCGAUCCUACACAGGUGGACUCGAAUGAGGUGCCAAACACACUCUAAACAACUCAUAAACAACUCCCCAAAAACCCCUUAAAACAUCAUAGAAACAUGCAUACAGAACACUGAUGAAAGGGCUAGACAGGGCACUUUCGGCGGCACUUUCGGCGGCCGAAGGUCCCUUCCAAAGACGAAAGUCAUGCAGGUUCGGGGGCACCUUCGGUGGCCGAACCCUCUCUCCAAAGAUGAAAGUCAAGCACUUUCGACGGCCGAACAUCACAUUCGGCGGCCGAAAGUCUGCUCCAACUCCGAAACACAACUUUCGGGGGCAAGGUUUGGCGGCCAAUCCAUGCAUCCAUAGGCAGGUUCAGCGGCCGAAACUACCUGCCAAACCUUGCAUCCAUAGGCAGGUUCGGCGGCCGAAACUACCUUCGGCGGCCGAACCUGAGUUCUUCCAGAACUCAGCCCUUGUGCAUACAAGCCUCCCAAACCUUCCAAACACCCCAAAACAAGCACCCAACUUCUUAACACAUGCACGAACUCUUAACCAUGCACAAAGGAGCUUAACAACUCGAUUAAACUCCAAAAACAACAUCAAAAGCAUACAUAGAUAGCUUAUGACCCACAUAGGCCAAAACCAUCAAAACAACCCAUAAUCUCACUUGCUCUUUCCCAAUCAUGCAUACACUCUCCCACAUGCAUAAACUAGCUCAAAUCUUCAACAUAACAUCACAUAAACACACAUUGGGCACAAAACCCACAUAAACCCUAACAUGCAUAUCUACCCAUACUCAACCAUCAAAACAUCAUUAAACUUACUAAAACUUCAUUAAAAUAGUAGGGAAGCAAGGAUCUACACUUACCUUUUGAAGAUCGAGGGGUGGUGCGAUCCCUAACUCGGAGGUGUGGAGGAUCCAAGCUCCAAAAGCCUUCAAACUCCCAAAACUCCCUUUUAAGCUUCAAAACUUCAAAACCAGGGUAGAUCUCAUGAAAACUUGAAGGAUGGGUAGAGAAAAACAUGAAAACGACCAAAGGAGGACCAAAACUCACCUGAGCUCGAGAAUGGGGACAAAACUCGCCCAUUUCCGAUUUGAGGGCUCUUUAUAGGUGGCCUGCUGAACCACCUUCGGCAGCCUAACGUGCCCCCGAAACUCAUGCAUGUUCGGCGGCCGAACCUUUGUUCAUUCAAACAAGGCUUUCGGAGGCCAAAAGCGCUCCCGAAACCUUCCCAUGUUCGGCGGCCGAACUUCACUUUCGGUGCCGAACCUGGCAAAUGCCUCCUUGGUCUUUUCUUUUCAAAACUCAAUUUUUUUUCAUUUAAAACCAUGAAAUCAGUAAAAUCAUUUUAGAAACCAUAUUUUACCCCUCUAGAAGACUCUGGCAUCAUCAAAAUUCCAGAUUCCAACGGAGAUCCCGCCGGAAGGUAGGGAUUCCGAUGCCGGAAUCUAGCCGGGUAUUACAAGAGCCCAGUGAGCAGAAUAGUAAAAUAGUAUAUUAAAACAUAUGCUUUCUUGGAAUGCAACACAUUACAAACAUUUCACAUCAAGGAUGGACUUGUCACCAAUAGCCCUCUACAUAAUCCAACAGUGCCAGGAUGUAGAAUGGGUCUCUGGUCUUUCCCUUAAACAUAACAUAUCAUAACAUUCCAAUGUGCCAGGACGUAGAAUGGGUCUUCUGGACUUUCUCUUACAUUAUGCCAGGACAUAGAAUGGGUCUAUGGACUUCUAUACCGUAUCAUCAUCAUCAUGCCAUAUCAAGGGCUAAUGGUACAUCCAAUAUCCAUCCACAACAACAUCAUAUUAUGCAAUGCAACAUAUUCGUGAAUUCUAAUACAAGCAACCUAAUAUAUCUCAUGGCAUUUGUGAUACAUGAACAUGCUCAAAAUUUAAUUACUUUGAAACAUAAAGGUCCAUUCUACUCACCUCAGGCUGCCUCUGAACAGACUCUGAAGCAGCUAUCACUGCUGGGGUUCUCGGUUCCUCGGGUCCGAACCUACACAGGUGGACUCAAAUGAGGGAUCAAACAUACACUAACGUAACUCUAGGAAUCUCCCCAAAAACCCCCUAAAACACCAUAAAAUAAUCAUAGAAAACAUGCAAAGGAAGGCUGAACAGGGCACUUUCGGCGGCUGAAAGUCCCUCCAGAGCCGAAACUUAGCCACCUUCGGCGGUAGGUUCGACGGCCGAAAGUCCCCUCUAGAGCCGAAAGUCCAAACUUUAGGGGGCAGGAUUCGGCAGCCAAAACUGCCUCCCCAGGCAAGUUCGGCGGCCAAACAUAGUUUCGGCUGCCGAACCUGAGUUCUUCCAGAAUGGCAGAACUCAAGCUUCUCUCACACAUUCAGCCAACCAAACCUUCCAACUCAAACCAACUCAUGCAAAAACAUGCACAAACACAUCCUCAAGCAUUUAGGGGCUUAGAACUAACCUAUACCCCAAAAACAUCUCAUUUAACAAACAAUAAACAUACAUUUCAUCAUUAACUCACAUAAACCCUAACAUUUUACAACUAGCCUAAUCAUGCAUUAAAACUCUCUAAAACCCCUCAAAACUUACAUAAAGCAUAAAAGAAGGGUAAGAUCCCCACUUACCUCUUGAAAAACGAGAGGAGAGGCGAUCCAAACUCGGAGAUGGAAGAAAUCAAGCUCCGGGGUCUCCAAGCUUCAAAACUUCAUUUUUAGCUCAAAAUCUUCAAAACCAAGAUGAAAGCUUGUUAAAAGCUUGAAAGAUUUGAAGGAAAACAUCAAAACUAACCAUGGAAGGGUUUGGACUCACCUUUGCCCGAAAAUGGAGAAGAAAACUCGCCCAUUUUCGGACAUGGGGCCUUUUAUAGGUGGCUGGUCAGACCACCUUCGAGGGCCAAAGGUGCUCCCUAAACUCCACCAUGUUCGGCGGCUGAACAUGAGGUUCGGUGGCUGAACCUGGCUUUCCUUCCUUGGUCCUUUUAUUUCAAAAACUCAAUUUCUUUCUUACUUAAAACCUCAAAACACAUGAAAAAAUUAUAGAAAAAUAUAUUUUACCCUUCUAGAGAGUUCCGACAUCCGAGGUUCCGUCGGAAACCAGGAAUUCCGAUGCCGGAGUCUAGCCGGGUAUUACAUUCUCCCCCCUUAAGAACAUUCGUCCCCGAAUGUUCACCAAACAAGUAUUGUAAUAUCCGGCUAGACCCCGGCAUCGGAAUUCCUGGUUCCGACAGAAUCUCGGAUGUCGAAAUCCUUUAGAAGGGUAAAAUAUGUUUUUCUAAAAUGUUUUCAAGUGUUUUAAGGUUUUAAGUAAGAAAGAAAUUGAGUUUUUGAAAGAAAAACACUAUGGAGGAAAUUCCAGGUUCGGCCGCCGAACCUCAUGUUCGGCCGCUGAACUUGGUGGAGUUUUAGAGUCACCUUUGGCUUCCGAAGGUGGUCUGGCCAGCCACCUAUAAAAGACCCCAUGUCCGAAAAUGGGUGAGCUUUCUCCUCCAUUUUCGGGCAAAGGUGAGUUCAUGCCCUUCCAUGGUUGGUUUUGAGGUUUUCCUUCAAAUCCUAUAAGUUUCUAACAAAUUUUAACUUGGUUUUGAAGGUUUUGAGCAAAGAUCGAAGUUUAGAAGCUUGGAGAUCUCCGGAACCCAUUUUCCCCAAAUCUCCAAGUUGGGUCACGUUUUCUCUCGAUCUUUAAGAGGCAAGCGUCGAUCCUCACCUCCUUCGAUGGUUUAAGCAAGUUUUAUAAAGGUUUAUGGGGUAAAAAUGCAUGUUUAGACUAGUUAUUAAAUGUUAGGGUUUAUGUUGGUUUUAUGGAUAAUGUAUGAUAUAUGUGUUGCUAGAUGUGUUUUGUUGGGGUUUAGGCUAGUUUGAGACCCCUAUAUGCUUAUAUAUGUGUGUAUGCAUGUUGUAGAAUAGCUAAAUGCAUGUUUGGGAGGUUAGGGAGGCUUAAAUGUGCUUAAGGGCUGAAUUUUGCCAUUUCUGGAAGAACUCAGGUUCGGCAGCCGAAUGCACUUUCGGCCGCCGAACCUGCCUGUGGAGGCAAGCUUUUGGCUGCCGAACCCUGCCCCUGAAAGUUGGACUUUCGGCUCUGGAGGGGAGUUUCAACCGUCGAAGGUGCCGCCAAAGGUGCAUGAGUUUCGUCUCUGGAAGGGACUUUCGGCCGCCGAAGGUGCCGCCGAAAGUGGCUAAGUUUCGACUCUGGAGGGACUUUCGACCGCCGAACCUGCCGCCGAAAGUGCCCUGUUCAGCCUUCCUUAGCAUGAUUUCUAUGAUUGUUUUAUGAUAUUUUAGGGGGUUUUUGGGGAGUAGUUUAGAGUUAUGUUAGUGUAUGUUUGGUCCCUCAUUUGAGUUCACCUGUGUAGGUUCGGACCCGAGGAACCGAGGACCCCAGCAGUGAGAUAGCUGCUUCAGAGUCUCUUCGGAGUCAGCCUGAGGUGAGCAGAAUGGAACUUUAUGUUUUAAAGUAAAUAAAUUUUGAGCAUGUUCAUGCAUCACGAAUGUCAUGAUAUAUUAGGUUUCUUGCAUUAGAAUCCACGAAUAUGUUGCAUUGCAUACUUUGAUGUUGAUGUGGAUGGAUGUUGGAUGACCCAUUAGCCCUAGAUAUGAUAUGAUGACGAUGAUACGGUGUGGAAGUCCGAUUGACCCAUUCUACGUCCCAGCAUAAUGUAAGAGAAAGUCCGGUUGACCCAUUCUACGUCCCGACACAUUGGAAUGUUAUGAUAUGUUAUGUUUAAGAGAAAUUUCGGUUGACCCAUUCUACGUCCCGUCACUUUGGAAUGUAGAGGGCUAUUGGUGACAAGUCCAUCCUUGAUGUGAAUUGUUUGUGAUGUGAUGCAUUUCAUAAAAGCAUAUGUUUUAAAUAUAAUGUUUUACUAUUCUGCUCACUGGGCUCUAGUAGCUCACCCCUUUCCCUUAACCCCCAGGUUUGCAGGUUCGGGAUAGAUCAGAAGGUCAGCAAGAGUAAAAGUAUUGUGUAUGUAAUAGUUAGAUGUGGACAUGAGCAAAUAACGAAAGAUAUUGUAAUGGAAUGUAAUGUAAAGUAAUGUGUAAGGAUGUUAUGAGGUUUAGUAUUGUGCUUGGCCCUAAUGUGAUGUAAAUCCCCUUUUGUACAUGAUCAUUAGGAUAAAUGUUUUAAUGUUAAGAAAUGCUAGACCAAGCUUGAUGUAUGGUAUAUUGUCCCACUAGAGCAUUUGAUGAGGGCUCUUGUGUGGAGUUUAUGUUAUGUUUAUGAUAUAUGCAGGUCAAGCUUGGUGAAUGAAAAUGUUUGAAAAUUUUAUGUAUAUGUUGAUCAUGUAUGGGAUUAUCAGGUAUGACAGGUUGUAUGUUAGGCUUGCUAUGGGUCCCGGCGACCUUAAGUCGAUCUAGAUCCUAGCGCCGAUAGCGGUCCGAUUUCCAGGUCGUUACAGAUUGGUAUCAGAGCCCUAGGUUCAUAUGGUCGAACCUAGAGAGUGUCGGGCUCAUAGAUGUUUUAGAAGGGCAAGCACAAUAGGAAAAUCAUGUCCACUAGGAUAGGAUGUAGAGUCCUUUCUUGAAUGAUGAUGUGAAAUGCCAUGAUUUUAUACAUGUGCAUUAAUGUUAUGCUAUGUAUGUGAUGCGGAUUCAUGUGUUUCCACAUGAACCAUUUGAUGCUAAUGUUUUAUGUGAUGUGUUGCUUUUCAGUAAGCAGAAUGAGAGGCACUCGUUGAUCUGCACGAUUGACUGGAGUCCCACCAGAAAAUGAGAGCAUGGAUUCCCAUCCCCCUGCAUUGCCAAGAGCAAUGUCAUGUAGGUCAAGCAGAGAAAGAGUGUCAAGGGACCCUAGAAGGUCUUUUGAUACUAGCAGAAGGGGAACAAAUCUAGGAGAAGGGUCUUCUGAUGUGAGGGAAGUAAUGGAUGAGGAUCAGAGAAGGGAUGGGAAUCUGGAUGUGAGCAUGUCUGAGAAGGGUAUAGGAGAGUCUCAAGGAGGCGCUUAGGCCUCGGGGUUUGGUUAUCCACCCUAGUAUCCACCCUUUCCAUAGGGCCCAGGGUAUCCGAUGGGGGAUACAUCGGAUUACUCCCGCUUUAACCCCUACCCUACCUUCAUGCCUUAUCCACCAUACCCCCAAUACCCAAUGUAUCCACCCUCACCUUUCUACCCAAAUGCAGCAAACCCUAAUCCAGGGAAUGUUGCACCUCCUCCACCACCCCAUGAACCUGUAGCCCCUGAAGUCCAAAUGCCCAAACUUAGCUCAUCUAGGGGGAGCAAAGUUAAGAUGACCGAUUACUUGAAUUGGAUGCUCCCAAGUUCAAGACGGGAGAUGAUCCUUUUGAGUAUCUGAAGACAGUGAAGAUGAUUACAGAUGAGUUAGGGGCAGAUGACAGUAGAGCCAUCCAGAUGGCGGGGUUCACACUCAAAUGCAAAAAGGCCCAUGAGUGGUUCAAGAACUAUGUGGACCCUAGAUUGGACAGUAUGACCUGGGAGGAGUUUGCAAAUGAAUUUGCAGGAUGGGCUUUCCCUGAUAGCUCCAGGGAGCUGAAGAUGAUUGAGUUUGAGCAGUUAAGGCAGACAGAGGAAAUGAGUGUAGACGAAUUCACUGAAAGAUUCCUGGAGCUGUUGCCGUUUGCAGGGCAAGCUUUAGACACAGAUCUGAAGAAGGCUAGAAGGUAUGUCAUGAAGCUUCACUCCAGGUAUUCCUCUUUAAUCCAGUCAGCAGAGAGGGAGAGUUUCCAUGCCAUAGUAGAUAUGGCCCGGAAGAUGGAGGCUAGUGCUAUAAUCGAAGGAAAAGUUAAGCAGUCAGUGGCACAGUCUUCGGGUUUCAAGACCCCAGGUGGGGGAAAAUUAGACCCCUCUUCUCUGAGUGCAACAGCUUCAGGCAGUAAGAGGUGGGGUAACACCACCAGGAAGUCUAAGAAGAACAAGUUCUGGAACAGGUUGAAAUCAGGUCUGGGACUCGGUGGUGGCUCGAGCUCGGGUUCAGAUGGUGCAGAGUGUUUGAGGUGUGGUAAGCUACAAAAGGGAGUGUGUCGGUUUGGGACUACAGCCUGCUUCAGAUGUGGGCAAGAGGGACACAUGGCACGGGAGUGUCCUAGGGCACCUUUCAUGGCACCAUCCCAGCAGACAGCUUCUGGUAGUGUGGCACAGCCAGCAGCUCCAACCAUGACUCAGGGCAGUGGCAGAGGCCGAGGGAGAAGGGCAGCCUCUUCUUCAGUAGGUUCCCGAGGUGAAGGUCCAUAAGCUCCAGCUCGGAUCUUCACUAUGACUCAGCAGGAGGCGAACACAUCUAACACCGUGGUGUCAGGUAAUCUCAUCAUUGGUUGUUCAGAUGUGUAUGCUUUAAUGGACCCUGGUGCAUCUCAUUCUUUUGUUGCUCCGAGAGCCGUAGAGAGGUUGGGUUUGAUGGUCUCCGGGUUAGAGUGUCCCCUCUGGGUUAGUGGACCCAAGUGUGAUCCAUCAAUAGCAGAGUCAGUCUGCCGGUAUAGUCCAGUGUUUGUGGAGAGUAGAUGCCUUCCAGCCGACCUUGUGGUUCUAGAUUUGAUGGAUUUUAAUGUCAUUCUAGGGAUGGAUUGGCUGUCUGCUCAUGGGGCUACCUUGGAAUGCAGGGACAAGGUAGUCAGGUUCAGAGAUCAGGAUGGGUCAGAGGUCAUCUUUAGAGGAGACGGGAGGGGUACACCUAGAGGUCUGAUAUCAGCUCUACAGGCUUGUAGGUUGCUCAGGAGAGGUUGUCAGGGGUUUCUAGCUCAUGUGAGAGAGCUGGAUAGUCAGGUUAAGGAGCCCUCCUCAGUGCCCGUGGUCAGAGAGUUCUUAGAUGUCUUUCCAGAUUAGCUUCUAGGACUACCACCUGCUAGGGAGACAGAGUUUGAAAUAGAAUUGUUGCCUGGAACCAGACCAAUCUCUAUCCCUCCCUACAGGAUGGCGCCAGCAGAGUUGAAAGAGCUGAAGGAGCAGUUGCAAGAGUUGGUAGACAAGGGUUUCAUCUGACUGAGUACCUCACCUUGGGGUGCUCCAGUGCUGUUUGUAAGAAAGAAGGAUGGAUCCUUGAGAUUUUGUAUCGACUAUAGGCAGUUGAACAAAGUCACUAUCAAGAAUAAGUAUCCGUUACCUAGGAUCGACGAUAUAUUCGACCAGCAAGCAGGAGCAGGUUGUUUCUCCAAAAUAGAUCUAAGAUCCGAGUACCAUCAGCUGAGAAUAAAAGAAGAAGAUGUGCUGAAGACGGCGUUCAGAACCAGAUAUGGGCAUUAUGAGUUCCUAGUAAUGCCGUUUGGGCUGACCAAUGCCCCUGCAGCAUUCAUGGAUCUCAUGAACAGAGUGUUUAGCCAGUAUCUGGAUCACUUUGUUAUUGUCUUCAUUGAUGAUAUCUUAGUGUAUUCCAGGAACGCAGAGGAGCAUGCCCAUCAUCUGAGGAUAGUUCUACAGACCCUGAGAGAGCAUAGCUUGUAUGCCAAGUUCUCCAAGUGUGAAUUAUGGUUGAGGAGCAUCUCAUUCUUGGGGCAUGUUGUGUCAGAAAACGGAAUUGAAGUGGACCCCAAGAAGGUGGAAGCGGUAGCUAACUGGCCUAGACCCACUACAGUGAUAGAGAUCAAAAGUUUCUUGGGUUUGGUAGGUUACUACAGGAGGUUCAUAUAGGACUUCUCAAAAAUUGCCGCUCCUAUGACCAGAUUAACUAAGAAGAAUCAGAGGUUUGUGUGGUCUGAUCAGUGUGAAGAGAGCUUCGAAGAGCUGAAGAAAAGGUUGACGUCGGCACCGGUGUUAGCUCUGCCUACCAGUAAUGAAGACUUCACAGUGUUUUGUGAUGCGUCCCGUGUGGGACUAGGUUGUGUGUUGAUGCAAAAUGAAAGAGUAAUUGCUUAUGCUUCUAGACAGCUGAAGAAGCAUGAGUUGAAUUAUCCUACACAUGACCUAGAGAUGGCAGCAGUGAUCUUUGCACUCAAGAUGUGGAGGUAUUACCUCUAUGGGGUAAAAUGUGAGAUCUUCACAGAUCAUAAAAGUUUGCAGUACAUCUUGAGUCAGAAACUGAGGCAGAGAAGAUGGGUAGAACUGCUUAGUGACUAUGAUUGCAAGAUCCAGUAUCAUCCGGGUAAGGCAAAUGUUGUAGUAGACGCCCUUAGCCGGAAAUCACUUGGCAGUCUAUCUCAUAUUACAGCAGAGAGAAGACCGGUGGUGAGAGAGUUUUACAAACUCAUCAAUGAAGGGUUGCAGUUGGAGUUGUCUGGUACAGGUGCUUUGAUAGCCCAAAUGAGAGUGACACCCGUGUUUCUGGAGCAGGUGGCUCAAAAAUAGCAUGAGGACCCAGAGUUAGUGAAAAUUGCCAGGACUGUUCAGUCAGGCAAGAACGAAGAGUUCAGAUUUGACAGCAAGAGGAUCCUCCGCUAUGGGAAUAGAUUAUGCGUACCAGAUGACGUGAAUCUGAAAGGUGACAUUAUGAGAGAGGCUCAUAAUGUCACCUUUCAGAUUCACGUCAUAAUGCUAGAUACAGUGUUCACCCUGGAGCCACCAAAAUGUAUCAAGAUUUGAAGAGAGUUUAUUGGUGGCCGACUAUGAAGAGAGAAGUGGCACAGUUCGUGUCCGCUUGCGAAAUAUGUCAGAGGGUGAAGCUGGAACAUCAGAAGCCGGCUGGAAUGCUUAACCCAUUGCCGAUUCCAGAGUGGAAAUGGGAGAAUAUAGCUAUGGAUUUCGUGCUGAGAUUACCGGCAACAUCCAACAGAUUAGACUCCAUAUGGGUGAUUGUGGACAGACUGACCAAAUCUGCUCACUUCAUCCCUGUCAGGAGUGGCUACUCUGUGGAUAAAUUGGCGCAGGUAUUUGUUGAUGAAGUGGUCAGGCUGCAUGGGGCUCCUGUUUCAAUAGUGUCUGAUAGAUGUAAUACCCGGCUAGACCCCGGCAUCGGAAUUUCAACUUUCCGGCGAAAUCUCCGUUGGAAUCCAGAAAUCUUGGAUGUCAGAGCCUUCUAGAAGGGUAAAAUAAAGGUUUUCUAAGAUGUUUUUAAGUGUUUUGAAGGUUUUCAAUGAGAAAGAAAUUGAGUUUUGAAAGAAAAGACUAAGGAGGGAAGAACCCAGGUUCGGCCGCCGAACCUCAAUUUCGGCCUCCGAACAUGGGACUGUUUAGGAGGCAUGUUAGGCUUCCGAAAGUGGCUUUCUUUUUCGGCCGCCGAACCCCAAGUUCGGCCGCCGAACGUGGUGAAGUUUCGGAAGCAGCUUUGGCCACCGAAGGAGGUUUGGCCGGCCACCUAUAAAAAGGCCCUUUGUCCGGAAAAUGGACGAGUUUUCUCUCUCUUUUCGGGCAUAGGUGAGUUCAUGCUCUCCUUUGGUUGUUUUUAUGCUUUUUCUUCAAAUCCCUCAAGUUUUCAUGAGUUUUAUCUUUGUUUUGAAGAGUUUUAAGCUUUGAUCAAGGUUUUGAGAGCUUGGAGACUUUUGGAGCUUGAACUCUCCAUACCUUCAAGCUUGGAUCGCACCAAACCUCGAUCUUCAAGAGGUAAGUAUAGAUCUUUAUCUUUUACGAUGUUUUAAGUGAGUUUUAUGAAGGGUUAAGGGCUAGGAAUGUAUGAGUUGUAUAGAUGUGCAUGUUAGGGUUUUGAUACCCUUUAUGAUAAAAGUAUGUUAAUGCAUGUUUAAUGAGAUGUUUGUUGGAGUUUAAGCUAGUUUGAGACCCCUAUAUGCUUGUUGUAUGAGUUGUGCAUGUUUUGGAAGUGUUGGAUGUGAGUGUGGGAGGUUUUGGAGGCGGAUUGCAUGAGCCGAAAACGGGUUCUGCCUUGCUGGGGAACCCAGGUUCGGCUGCCGAAGGUAGUUUCGGCUUCCGAACCUGCCUGUGAAAGCAAUCUUUGGCCACCUAACCUUGCCCCCAAAAAUGGACUUUCGGCUCUGGAAGGGACUUUCGGCCGCCGAAGGUACCGCCGAAAGUGCCUGGCUUUCGUCUCUGGAGGAGACUUUCGGCCGCCGAACCUGCCUCCAAAAGUGCCUGACUUCGGAUCUGUGGGAGCAUUCGGCCGCCGAAUGUGCGCUGAAGGUGCCCUGUCCAGCCUUCCUUUGCUUGUUUUGCAUGUUUAUUUUAUGAUGUUUUAGGGGGUUUUUGGGGAGUUGUUUAGAGUCCUGUUAGAGUAUGUUUGGUCCCUCAUUUGAGUCCACCUGUGUAGGAUCGGACCUGAGGAACCGAGGUGUUCAGCAGUGUUAGCUGUUUCAGAGUUAGUCCAGAGGUAGCCAGAGGUGAGUAGAACAUAACUCUUAUUAUAUUAAAGAAAUUAAAUGUUUUAAGCAUGUUCAUGCAUCAUGAAUACCAUGUUAUGUAAUAGGUUGUUUGCAUUAGAAUUCACGAAUAUGAUGCAUUGCAUAAUACGAUGAUGAUGAUAUGGAUGGAUAUUAAAUGAUCCUCUAGCUCUCUGUACGAUAUGAUAUAAUAUGAUAUGACAUGAGAUGGAAAGACCAGGCGUGACAAUAUCGCCCCUGGCAAUAUGUUAUAUGUAAGAGAAGACCAGGCGUGGCCGUAUCGCCCCUGGCAUAGUUGGACAUGUUAUGAUAUGAGCUAUGCAAUAGAAGACCAGGUGUGGCCGUAUCGCCCCUGGCAUAGUUGGACAUGUUAUGAUAUGAGAUAUGUAGAGGGCUAUUAGUGACAAGUUCAUCCUUGAUGUGUAUUGUUUGUGAUGUGAUGUAUUUCAUGAUGGCAUAUGUUAAAAUGUUUUCUUUAUAUAGUUCUGCUCAUUCCUUUCCCCUAACCCCAGGUUUGCAGGGUCAGAGAUAGUUAAGGAGGUCAGCAGGUUAUGGUUAUGGUCAUGUUAUGUAAUAGAAUAGUAGUGGACAUGAUGUAAUAUAAAGUUAUGUAAUGAUGUAAAAGUAUGUAUUGUAAUGUAAUGUAAUGAGGUUAGUAUUGUGCUUAGCCCUAAUGUUUAUGGUUUGUCCCUAUUUCACAUGAUCUUUAUGUAUGUUUUAUGAUGAGAUUUGUUGAACCAAGCUUAAUGUAUGAUAUGUUGACCCAACUGGAACAUUUGAUGAGGGCUCCAGUAAGGGGUUUUAUGUUUACAGUUAUUGUGCAUGCACAGGUUAAGCUUGGUAAAUGAAAUGAAAAGUUUAAAGUUUUAUGUUAUGUUUGAUCAUGUACGGGAUUAUACUAGUUGUACAGGAUGUAUGUUAGGCUUGCUACGGGUCCCGGCGACCUUAAGUCGAUCUGGAUCCUAGCGCCGGUAGCGGUCCGGUUUUCGAGUCGUUAUAAAUAGAGGACCCCAGUUCACCUCCAGGUUUUGGCGGAGUCUGCACACUAGGUGUUUGGUUAAUGGAAAAGUGUGUACUCUCAUUAUUGAUGGAGGUAGUUGCACAAAUGUAGCUAGUGUGUAUAUGGUGGAGAAAUUGGGCUUGGCUUCUAUUAAACACCCUAAGUGAUGCGGAACCCCAGCCUAUUAGAGACUGAAACGACACAUACCCUAGUAAAAAGAACUUAGUUCAGAAAACAAUUCCCCAAUCUAAAGCACCCUUAAUUAACAUGCAAUUAAGAACACUUAUAACUUAUUGAUUUUAAAAGCAGCAAGAAUAAGUGUAACGAUCCGAAAUCGGACCGCCACCGGCGCUAGGAUCCAGAUCGACUUAAGGUCGCCGGGACCCGUAGCAAGCCUAACAUACAACCUGUCAUACCUGAUAAUCCCAUACAUGAUCAUACAUUUACAUAAAAAUUUUAAACUUUCCAUCUACUAAGCUUGACCUGUGCAUGCAUCAUAACUAUAACAUAAACCCCACACAAGAGCCCUCAUCAAAUUCUCUAGUGGGACAUCAUAUCAUACAUCAAGCUUGGUUUAGCAUUUCUUAACAUUAAAACAUUUUAUAACGAUCAUGUACAAAAGGGGAUUAACAUAAUAUUAGGGCCAAGCACAAUACUAAACCUCAUAACAUUUUUACAUAAUACUUUACAUUACAUUAUCUUUCAUGUCCACAACUAACUAUUACAUACAAGACACCUUUACUCUUGCUGACUUCCUGGUCUAUCCCGAACCUGCAAACCUGGGGGUUAAGGGAAAAGGGUGAGCUACUAGAACCCAGUGAGUAGAAUAGUAAAACAGUAUAUUAAAACAUAUGCUUUCAUGGAAUGCAACACAUCACAAACAUUUCACAUCAAGGAUGGACUUAUCACCAAUAGCACUCUACAUAAUCCAACAGUGCCAGGACGUAGAAUGGGUCUCUGGUCUUUCCCUUAAACAUAACAUAUCAUAACAUUCCAAUGUGCCAGGACGUAGAAUGGGUCUUCUGGACUUUCUCUUACAUUAUGUCAGGACGUAGAAUGGGUCUCUAGACUUCCAUACCGUAUCAUCAUCAUCAUGCCAUAUUAAGGGCUAAUGGGUCAUCCAAUAUCCAUCCACAACAACAUCAUAUUAUGCAAUGCAACAUAUUCGUGAAUUCUAAUGCAAGCAACCUAAUAUAUCUCAUGGCAUUCGUGAUGCAUGAACAUGCUCAAAAUUUAAUUACUUUGAAACAUAAAGGUCCAUUCUACUCACCUCAGGCUAACUCUGAACAGACUCUGAAGCAGCUAUCUCACUGCUGGGGUCCUCGGUUCCUCGGGUCCGAACCUACACAGGUGGACUCAAAUGAGGGACCAAACAUACACUAACGUAACUCUAGGCAUCUCCCCAAAAACCCCCCUAAAACACCAUAAAACAAUCAUAGAAAAAAUGCAAAGGAAGGCUGAACAUGGCACUUUCGGCGGCAGGUUCAGCGGCCGAAAGUCCCCUCCAGAGCCGAAACUCAGCCACCUUCGGGGGCAGGGUUCGGCAGCCAAAACUGCCUCCCCAGGCAGGUUCGGCAGCCGAACAUGGUUUCGGCUGCCGAACCUGAGUUCUUCCAGAAUGGCAGAACUCAAGCUUCUCUCACACAUUCAGUCAACCAAACCUUCCAACUCAAACCAACUCAUGCAAAAACAUGCAUAAACACAUCCUCAAGCAUUUAGGGGCUUAGAACUAACCUAUACCCCAAAAACAUCUCAUUUAACAAACAAUAAACAUACAUUUCAUCAUUAACUCACAUAAACCCUAACAUUUUACAACUAGCCUAAUCAUGCAUUAAAACUCUCUAAAACCCCUCAAAACUUUCAUAAAGCAUAAAAGAAGGGUAGGAUCCCCACUUACCUCUUGAAAAACGAGAGAAGAGGCGAUCCAAACUCGGAGAUGGAAGAAAUCAAGCUCCGGGGUCUCCAAGCUUCAAAACUUCAUUUUUAGCUCAAAAUCUUCAAAACCAAGAUGAAAGCUAGUUAAAAGCUUGAAAGAUUUCAAGGAAAACAUCAAAACUAACCAUGGAAGGGUUUGGACUCACCUUUGCCCAAAAAUGGAGAAGAAAACUCGCCCAUUUUCGGACAUAGGGCCUUUUAUAGGUGGCUGGCCAGACCACCUUCGGGGACCAAAGGUGCUCCCUAAACUCCACCAUGUUCGGCGGCCGAAAAUGAGGUUCGGCGGCCAAACCUGGCUUUCCUUCCUUGGUGCUUUUCUUUCAAAAACUCAAUUUCUUUCUUACUUAAAACCUCAAAACACAUGAAAAUAUUUUAGAAAAACAUAUUUUACCCUUCUACAGAGUUCUGACAUCCAAGAUUCCGCCGGAAAGCAGGAAUUCCGAUGCCGGUGUAAUACCCAGCUAGACCCCGGCAUCGAAAUUCCUGCUUUCCGGCGGAAUCUCGGAUGUCGAAAUCCUCUAGAAGGGUAAAAUAUAUUUUUCUAAAAUGUUUUCAAGUGUUUUAAGGUUUUAAGUAAGAAAGAAAUUGAGUUUUUGAAAGAAAAACACUAUGGAGGAAAUUCUAGGUUUGGCCGCUGAACUUGGUGGAGUUUUGGAGUCACCUACGCAAAAAAUGGUUCAUCAAUCUCAUAAAUGUGCUAGGUGCAUUAGUUAAGCUAAAAGGCAUCACUAACCAUUCAUAUAAACCAUAUUUAGUCUUAAAGGCAGUUUUCCACUCAUCACCUAACUUCAUCCUAAUUUGAUGAUAACCGCUUUUCAAGUCAAUUUUGGUAAAGAAAACAGCACCACAUAAUUCUUCAAGCAUAUCAUCUAAUCUAGGAAUAGGAUGGCAAUAGUUUACAGUGAUUUUGUUGAUCGCACGACAAUCAACACAUAUACGCAUUGUUCCAUCUUUCUUUGGAACCAACAAAACAGGUAGUGCGCAUGGACUGAGGCUCUCCCUGAUAGGUCCCUUAGCUAGUAACUCAUCAACUUGCUUUUACAAUUCCUUCGUCUCCUCAGGAUUACUCCGGUAAGCUGGACGGUUUGGAAUCUGAGCUACAGGAUUAAAAUCGAUCUGAUGUUCUAUUUCCCUAAUGGGUGGCAACCCAGAUGGCACCUCCUCAGGAAAUACAUCCGCAAAAUCCUGUAAUAACUUAGAAAAAGAACUAGGCAAUUCAUUAGUAGGGUUAGUCUCAAUCAUAAAAUUGGAACUAAAAUGCAACAUAAUCAAAGCUCUCUUUCCUAAGUAUGCUUUCUUCAACUCUCUCUCUUUACAAUAAAAGGAAGACUUGCUGAAUUCUUCACUCUUCUCACUCAACUCUCCUUUUACCUCCACACUCACUAAUGUUUUCUCUCCUACACGUCUCUCAUUUUUAUCCUUUCCUGUGUAGUCACUCUCCUUUGGGUCAUUUGAAACCUUCUUUAUACUACUGGCCUCUUUUCCCUCAUUCUUUUUACUUGUCUCACCUCCCUUACCCAAUUUAGUAGAUUGUUGUAAUUUCAUUUGAUCUGCAUAUACAUCUUUAGGAGAUAAUGGUACAAGUAUAUGUUUUAUGCCAAGGAACGUAAAAGAAAACCUAUUACUAUACCCAUCAUGAAUGACACGCCUAUCAAAUUGCCAUGGUCUACCCAACAAAAUAUGUCCAGCCUGCAUGGGUACAAUAUCACAAGUAACCUUAUCUACAUACUUGCCAAUAGAAAAUAACACUUUACAUUGCUUGGUUACCUUUGCCUCGCCACUAUCAUUCAACCACUGAAGUCUAUAAGGAUUAGGGUGUUUAAUAGUUUCUAGUCCUAAUUUAUCAAUUAAAAUAGUACUAGCACAAUUAACUUGACUACCCGAAUCUAUUAUCAUGCAACAAACUUUACCACCUAUCAAACAACGAGUGUGAAAGAUGUUUUCACGCUGUUCAAGCCUCUCUUCUUUAAUAGAAAUAUUUAAAGUACGCAAUAUGACUAAGGACUCUCCCUGAACAGGAUACUCUUCUAUCUCUACAUCAGAACAAUCUUCUAAAGGUGGUAUUUCAUCAGAAUCAAAAUCAGUUUCGAAGACUAUCUCAUCUCCCCUCACUAUCAUGGCACGUUUAUUAACACACUCAUUGGCAUAAUGCCCACGCCCUUUACAUUUAAAGCACUGAAUAUCUCUAGUACUAUUAGAUUUAGGGGCUGAUUCAUUUUUACCAUGAGAGUUGGAUGUUUCUUUGAAAGGUAACAUACCUUUUUGAGUUGAAGACUUAUCAAACCUUUUAGGAUCAGUCUUGGUGUUCCAUUUGGAACCCCAUUUGCUGUUGGAGUUUUGAGCAGCCCUGUUACUCCCCCAUCUAUUUUGGCCUCUUUGUCUUUCCACCUUAAUGGCAAUGUUCACCAAGUCUUCCAAAUCAACAUAUGGUUGCAAAUCAACCACAUCAGCAAUCUCCUUGUUUAGACCACCAAAGAAACGAGCCAUAGUCUGGUCUUCCUCCUCCACUAUGUUUGCUUUGAUUAGGAGCAACUCCAUCUCCUUAUGAUACUCAUCAACAGAUUUUGAUCCUUGGGUUAAUCUUUGCAACUGAUGAUGGAUAUCUCUAUGGUAAUAAGUAGGCACGUAUUUCUUCCUCAUGAUUCGCUUCAUCUCUUCCCAACUAGCAAUGGGUAACUCUCCAUUCCUUCUCUUAGAUUUCACAAGCUCAUUCCGCCAUAUUAGUGCAUAAUCUGAAAACUUAAGGGCAACAAGUUUUACCUUCUUAUCGUCGGAAUAGCUUUGACAGUUAAAAACCAUCUCCACUUUACGCUCCCACUCUAAAUAGGCAUCAACAUCAGCCUUACCAUUGAAGUUUGGAAUCUUCAUCUUUAUGAAGUUUAUAUUGUUAUCUACAUAGGGUACACGAUCAUUAAACCUUCUGGCUCGGAAAGGGGCUAAUUGUGCCACAUUUCCUCUUCAUAGGAUGGAUCGUGUGUAUCAUCAUCCCCCUGAUUGGACUUGCCCUUUGAAGAUCUAAGGUUGUCCUCAAGGUUAUCCAUUCUCAAAUUUAGCUUCUGAAAGCUAUCCAUGAAAGCUUUGUACAUAUCUUUAAGAUCAAACGUAGGGUCAGAAGUAUCACCAGUAUUAUGCCCAGACAUUAUAGAAAAAUUCACAAUUCUCUCAACUCACGUGUUUAACUUUCAAGCACUCACUUGGUAUCUCAAAAGUGCACUUCAGAAUAAAGACUCAAUAAGCCAAGCUUGUAUGAUUCAAAUAAUAAGGAAAGCAAGGAAAGACCUAACAAGAAAAGAUAGGAAAUAACACUAGAUGCAAAUUGACCAAAAUGAACAAACGGAUUGAUUUAGCACACAAAAGUGAAAUUUCAUGUACUAAGUGUAAUUAGAUGUUCAACAAUGUGCAAUUUGUCAAACUAAGUGUAAGGAACCAACAGACAGAAAGACACCAAAUUGACAAACUAAGAAUAAAAAAUUAACAAGACGGAUGUGCUUAACACGAAGUUAUCCCUAAGCAUACAAUCCUAGGUUAACUGAUCUUAAUAUUGACUCAACAAAAACAAUUCAAAGCAAGCAAACAAAAUAGACACUUAAAACAGCAAGUAUUAAGUAAAACUAUUUUUGUGAAAAUACUACCCAAAUUUUUCCUAAACCUACCCCAAACAUGUAUUUCGAAUUCCAAACCCCGAAAUAUGUUCAAGGUAUAUGAAAUAUGAUUUGUACUAGUAGGUAUCAAUAUCAAAAUGAAGUUUGAACAAUUGACCCAAAUUGCAGAAAUUCUUUUUCUUUUUUUUUUCUUCUUUUUGGUAUUUUUUUUAUAUGGACUAAAGUAAAACCCUGGAAAUACUAUUCUAAGAGUGUUAGAAUAGAAGCAUACGAAUUAGGGCAGAAAGCACAAACCAAACCACUGAAGAUAGUAAUUCCUCCUAAACAAGAAUUUAGGGUAAAAUACGAUUUGAACAGCAACUAAACAAUGUAUUCGACUCUAGUAGGUAUCCCAAACGGAAAGAUCAUAAAAAAAUUGAAGAAAAGACACAAAGGAUAGUUAAGAAAUUAUUACUAAGCCUAGCUCUGAUGCCAAUUGAUGUGGAACCCCAGCCUAUUAGAGACUGAAAUGACACAUACCCUAGUAAAAAGAACUUAGUUCAGAAAACAAUUUCCCAAUCUAAACCAUCCUUAAUUAACAUGCAAUUAAGAACACUUAUAACUGAUUGAUUUUAAAAUCAGCAAGAAUAAGAAACAUACAAGUUAGUAUCAAACCUUAUUCGUGAUGCAAUGUCAAGAAUCAAGAUCUCUCUUAAGCUCUCAAAGAAGAAUCGCAUAAAGCAAUUGUAUUGAAUAAUUGAUAAUCUGUCCACAAUAUGGAAAAAGAGAUACUUUAUAUAACAUAAAUAAAGACCCAUGAUCUUUACCACUUUCCACUACUAUGCAUGGACCCAUGAUCUAUGCCACUACCCACUACUCUGCAUAGAUUCAUGAUCUAUGCCACUAUCCACUACUAGAUAACUACCCACUACUAGUUAACUAUUCACUACUGGAUAACUACCCACUACUGGUUAACUAUCCACUACUGGUUAACUACCAACUGCUAAAUAACUACCUACUACUAAAUAACUACCCACUAUAAAUACAAAGUUUGAAUUGUCAAUAAGAACACAUUCAGCCUAAUUGACUUGGAAUGGCCAGAUUGUUCUUCAACUUCAAAAUGAACUUGCAAAGCUUCAACAUAUUCCUUCAUGAAUCCUUGAAGUGCUUCCUUCAACCUCUUGGAUCUCAACCUUGUAAUUGGUCCUUGAGGCAAUGCUAGCUCAUCAGUGUUGUUGGUUGUGCUUACAUCACUAAGCCAUACAGAUUGCAAUGGUUGAACGAUUGUGGUGAGGUUAGGGUUACACGCUGAGUGGUUAUACCAUUUUCUAUUGGUAGGUACAAGGAUGAGAUCUUGUGUGAUGUGAUACCUAUGCAGGCAAGCCAUAUGUUGUUGGGUAGGCCGUGGCAAUAUGAUAGAAAGAUACAACAUGAUGGAUUCAAUAACAAGUACUCCAUCUGUAACGACCCGAAAAUCAGACCGCUACCGGCGCUAGGAUCCGGGUCGACUUAAGGCCGCUGGGACCCGUAGCAAGCCAAACAUACAUCUUGGAAACCUGUUUAAUCCCAUACAUGAUCAACAACAUACAUAAAAAUUUAAAACCUUUCUUUCCAACAUCCAACUCAACCUGAACAUAGUCAUAAACAUAAACAUGAUCCCUCUGUGGGAUCUCAUCAAUGCCCCAACAGGCGAUACAACAUGAGAUGAGUUGGCUAACAUCUAUAUCAUCAAAUAUCUAAGAUCAUGCAUUAACAAGGGAUUACAAUACUCAUAGGGUCAAGCACAUCUAUAACCUCAAUAUACUUCAUUACAUAACAUGCUGUAAUCUCUUACAUUACAUCAUAGUACAAUUGUCAUGUCCACAAUCUAACUAUUACAUACACAUACUUCAAAACUCUGGCUAACCUCCUGGUCUACCCUGAACCUGCACAUCUGGGGUUAGGGGAGAGGGGUGAGCUACAAAGCCCAGUGAGCAGAAUAGUGAAAUCAUAUAUUAAAAUUUCUAUGUAAUGCAACACAUCACAACAAAUCACAUCUCGGAUGGUAUUGUCACCAAUAGUCCUCUACAUAGUCCAACUGUGCCGGGACGUAGAAUGGAUACAACCGGUCUUUCUCUUAUCAUAACAUAUCAUAACAUACCAAUUUGCCAGGGACGUAGAAUGGGUACAACCUGGACUUUCUCUUACAUCGUGCCAGGGACGUAGAAUGGGUACAACCUGGACUUCCAUACCAUAUCAUGCCGUAACAUCAUCAUGCCAUAUGAGGACUAAAGGAUCAUCCAAUAACCAAUCCACAUCAACAUCAUAAAUGCAAUGCAACAUAUUCGUGNNNNNNNNNNNNNNNNNNNNNNNNNNNNNNNNNNNNNNNNNNNNNNNNNNNNNNNNNNNNNNNNNNNNNNNNNNNNNNNNNNNNNNNNNNNNNNNNNNNNNNNNNNNNNNNNNNNNNNNNNNNNNNNNNNNNNNNNNNNNNNNNNNNNNNNNNNNNNNNNNNNNNNNNNNNNNNNNNNNNNNNNNNNNNNNNNNNNNNNNNNNNNNNNNNNNNNNNNNNNNNNNNNNNNNNNNNNNNNNNNNNNNNNNNNNNNNNNNNNNNNNNNNNNNNNNNNNNNNNNNNNNNNNNNNNNNNNNNNNNNNNNNNNNNNNNNNNNNNNNNNNNNNNNNNNNNNNNNNNNNNNNNNNNNNNNNNNNNNNNNNNNNNNNNNNNNNNNNNNNNNNNNNNNNNNNNNNNNNNNNNNNNNNNNNNNNNNNNNNNNNNNNNNNNNNNNNNNNNNNNNNNNNNNNNNNNNNNNNNNNNNNNNNNNNNNNNNNNNNNNNNNNNNNNNNNNNNNNNNNNNNNNNNNNNNNNNNNNNNNNNNNNNNNNNNNNNNNNNNNNNNNNNNNNNNNNNNNNNNNNNNNNNNNNNNNNNNNNNNNNNNNNNNNNNNNNNNNNNNNNNNNNNNNNNNNNNNNNNNNNNNNNNNNNNNNNNNNNNNNNNNNNNNNNNNNNNNNNNNNNNNNNNNNNNNNNNNNNNNNNNNNNNNNNNNNNNNNNNNNNNNNNNNNNNNNNNNNNNNNNNNNNNNNNNNNNNNNNNNNNNNNNNNNNNNNNNNNNNNNNNNNNNNNNNNNNUUGCAAGCCACAUUUGCAUAAACUCAAAAAUCAUCCAAAACUCACUAAAAACCUACACAUGCAUUUCUACCCCAUAGAACAACUUAAAACUUACUUAAAACAUACAAUGAGCUUAAGAUCGGCUCUUACCUCUUGGAGAUCGAGAGAGAGACGACCUAAACUCGGAGAUCCAAGCAAAUGAGCUCCUGAGUUCCCAAAGCUCCAAAACUUGUCUCAAAGCUUGAAAAUCUUCAAAACCAAGUAAAAACUCAUGAAAAUCGAGUAAGAUGGGAAGGAAAGAACUCAAGAUCGGUGAGGGGGCGGCGGAAAGCUCACCUUGGCCGAAAAUGGGAAAAAGCUCGCCCGUUUUCGGCUAAGGGACCCUUUUAUAGUGGCUGGCCAGGCCACGUUCGGGGGCCGAAAGUGCCUCCGCAUGCAUGCCAUGUUCGGUGGCCGAACUUGAGGUUCGGCGGCCGAACCUGAACUUCCCUCACUUGUGCUUUCGGGGGCCUAAAGGCGCUCCCGAAGGCAUGCAUGUUCGGAGUUUUCCUCCAAAGACUUUUCAUGCAAAAACUCAUUAAAUUUUCAUACUUAAAACCAUGAAAUACUUCAAAACAUUUUAUGAAAACAUGUUUCUACCCUACUAGAGACUUCCGACAUCCGAGAUUCCACCGGACGGUAGGAAUUCCGAUACCGGAGUCUAGCCGGGUAUUACAUUAUCCCCCCCUUAAGAACAUUCGUCCCCGAAUGUACCUCAACUAGCACACAACAAGGCAUCAAACAUAACAUACACACAUAGCACCUAAACACAUAGAGAUCUAACCUUAAAAGAGAUGAGGGUACUGCUGGAGCAUAGACUCCCGUGUCUCCCAAGUGCAUUCCUCCAAAUUGUGGUGGUUCCACAGGACUUUCACCAUCGGGAUUUCCUUGUUUCUUAGCUUUCUGAUCUGGGUGUCUAUGAUCCGUACUGGCUGUUCAACAUAGGUGAGAUCCUCUUGGACCUCCACAUCAGGCUCACUAAGAACCUUGCUCGGAUCUGAUACAAACUUCCUCAACAUUGAAACAUGGAAGACCGGAUGGAUUCUUGCCAUUGAAGCAGGUAAAUCCAGCUUGUACGACACAUUCCCAAUCUUUUGCAAGAUUUCAAAGGGUCCGAUGUAUCGUGGGGCUAGUUUACCCUUCUUCCCGAAGCGAACCACUCCCUUCAUUGGAGACACCCUGAGCAAUACCAGAUCCCCCUCUUGAAACUCUAACUGUCUCCUACGGACGUCUGCAUAGCUCUUCUGUCUGCUGGCAGCAGUCUUGAUUCUCUCUCUGAUUAUGGGUACCACCCUGCUGGUGAUCUCUACUAGCCUUGGCCCUGCCAAGGCCUUUUCUCCAACUUCCUCCCAGCAAACAGGUGAUCUGCACUUCCUUCCGUACAAAGCUUCAUAUGGAGCCAUCCCGAUGCUAGCAUGAUGGCUGUUGUUGUAGGCAAACUCCACCAAAGGUAGAUGCUGCCUCCAAGAACCGCCAAAGUCCAGCACACACAUUCUGAGCAUAUCUUCGAUAGUUUGGAUGGUCCUUUCUGACUGUCCAUCAGUCUGGGGGUGGAAGGCAGUGCUGAAAUCCAACCUAGUACCCAUGGCAUUCUGCAGACUCCGCCAAAACCUGGAGGUGAACUGGGGCCCUCUAUCAGACACUAUCGAAACAGGAACCCCAUGCAGCCUGACGAUCUCAUCCACAUACACCUGCGCCAACUUGUCCACAGAAUAGCCACUCCUGACAGGGAUGAAGUGAGCAGAUUUGGUGAGUCUGUCCACAAUCACCCAUAUGGAGUCCAAUCUGUUGGAUGCUGCCGGUAACCCCACUACGAAGUCCAUAGUUAUAUUUUCCCAUUUCCAUUCUGGAAUCGGUAGCGGGUUAAGCAUUCCAGCCGGCUUCUGAUGUUCCAGCUUCACCCUCUGACACACUUCGCAGGCUGACACGAACUGUGCCACUUCUUUCUUCAUAGCUGGCCACUAAUAAACCUUCUUUAGAUUUUGAUACAUCUUGGUGGCUCCGGGGUGAAUGCUGUAUCUUGCACUAUGAGCUUCUCUCAUAAUGUCUCCUUUUAGCCCAAUGUCAUCUGGUACACAUAGUCUGCUCCUAUAGCGGAGGAUCCCCUUGCUGUCGAAUCUGAACUCACUAUCAUUGCCUGACUGAACAGUCCUGGCAAUCUUCACUAACUCCGGGUCCUCAUGUUGUUUCUGAGCCACCUGCUCCAGAAACACGGGUGCCACUCUCAUCUGGGCCACCAGGGCACCUGUACCAGACAACUCCAUCUGUAGACCUUCCUCAAUAAGCUUGUAGAACUCCUUCACCACUGGCCUCCUCUCUGCCGAUAUAUGGGACAAACUGCCUAGUGACUUCCGGCUUAGGGCGUCUGCCACGACAUUCGCCUUACCCGGAUGAUACUGAAUCUUGCAAUCGUAGUCACUCAGUAGUUUCACCCAUCUCCUCUGUCUCAAAUUUAAAUCUCUUUGACUCAGGAUGUACUGCAAGCUCUUAUGAUCUGUAAAGAUCUCACAUUUAACCCCAUAGAGGUAGUGCCUCCACAUCUUGAGUGCAAAGAUUACUGCUGCCAUCUCAAGGUCAUGCGUGGGGUAAUUCAACUCAUGCUUCUUCAGCUGCCUAGAAGCAUAAGCAAUCACCCUUUCGUUCUGCAUCAGUACACAACCCAGUCCCACACGAGACGCAUCACAAAAGACUGUAAAGUCCUCAUCACUAGAUGGCAGAGCUAAAACUGGUGCUGAAGUCAACCUCUUCUUAAGCUCUUCAAAACUCUCUUCGCACUGUUCGGUCCACACAAACUUCUGAUUCUUCCUGGUUAACCUGGUCAGAGGAGCUACUAUCUUUGAGAAGUCCUGAACGAACCUCCUGUAGUAACCUGCCAAACCCAAGAAACUUCUAAUCUCUGUCACUGAAGUGGGUCUAGGCCAGUUAGCCACAGUUUCUGUCUUCUUGGGGUCCACCUCAAUCCCAUUCUCUGACACUACAUGCCCCAAGAACGAAAUGCUCCUCAGCCAGAAUUCACAUUUAGAGAACUUGGCAUACAAGCCAUGUUCCCUCAAAGUCUGCAAGACCAACCGCAGAUGAUGGGCAUGCUCCUCUGCAUUCCUAGAAUACACCAAGAUAUCAACUAUAAGACAAUAACGAAGUGAUCCAGGUAUUGGCUAAAUACUCUGUUCAUGAGAUCCAUGAAUGCUGCAGGGGCGUUGGUUAACCCAAACGGCAUCACAAGGAACUCAAAAUGCCCAUAUCUAGUCCUGAAAGCUGUCUUCGGCACAUCUUCAUCCCUUAUCCUUAGCUGAUGGUACCCCGAUCUCAAAUCUAUUUUGGAGAAACAACCUGCACCUGCUAACUGGUCGAAUAGAUCAUCGAUCCUUGGCAAAGGGUACCUAUUCUUGGUAGUGACUUUGUUCAACUGCCUGUAGUCGAUACAAAGUCUAAGGGAUCCAUCCUUCUUUCUUACGAAUAAAACUGGUGCACCCCAAGGUGAAGUGCUCGGUCGGAUGAAGCCCUUUUCUACCAACUCUUNNNNNNNNNNNNNNNNNNNNNNNNNNNNNNNNNNNNNNNNNNNNNNNNNNNNNNNNNNNNNNNNNNNNNNNNNNNNNNNNNNNNNNNNNNNNNNNNNNNNNNNNNNNNNNNNNNNNNNNNNNNNNNNNNNNNNNNNNNNNNNNNNNNNNNNNNNNNNNNNNNNNNNNNNNNNNNNNNNNNNNNNNNNNNNNNNNNNNNNNNNNNNNNNNNNNNNNNNNNNNNNNNNNNNNNNNNNNNNNNNNNNNNNNNNNNNNNNNNNNNNNNNNNNNNNNNNNNNNNNNNNNNNNNNNNNNNNNNNNNNNNNNNNNNNNNNNNNNNNNNNNNNNNNNNNNNNNNNNNNNNNNNNNNNNNNNNNNNNNNNNNNNNNNNNNNNNNNNNNNNNNNNNNNNNNNNNNNNNNNNNNNNNNNNNNNNNNNNNNNNNNNNNNNNNNNNNNNNNNNNNNNNNNNNNNNNNNNNNNNNNNNNNNNNNNNNNNNNNNNNNNNNNNNNNNNNNNNNNNNNNNNCAGACCGGAUUUCAACUUGUUCCAAAACUUAUUCUUCUUCGGCUUCCUGGUGGUGUUAUCCCACCUCUUCUUACCUGAGCUCUGAGAAGAGAAACCUGGUCCUCCUCUGCCUGGGGUCUUAACCCCUGAAGACUGGGUCACUGACUGCUUCACUGACCCCUCAACUAUAGCACUUGCUUCCAUCCUUCGAGCCAUAUCCACCACAGUGUGGAAACUUUCCCUCUCAGCUGACUGAAUCAACGAGGAGUACCUGGAAUGCAGCUUCAUAACAUACCUCUUGGCUUUCUUCGUAUCUGUAUCUAGAGCUUGCCCUGAAAAAGGCAAUAGCUCCAAGAAUUUAUCCGUGAACUACUCUACACCCAUGUGCUCUGACUGCCUCAGUUGCUCAAACUCAAUCAUCUUCAGUUCUCUCUGGAAAAGCCCAUCCAGCGAACUCAUUCGCAAAUUCCUCCCAUGUCAUGCCGUCUAGUCUUGGGUCCACAUAACACUUGAACCAUUCCCGUGCCUUCUUGCACUUUAAAGUGAACCCUGCCAUCUGAAUGGCCCUGCUGUCAUUUGCCCCUAGCUCAUCAGUUAUUGUCUUCACCACUCUCAGAUACUCAAAGGGGUCAUCCCCUGACUUGUAUUUGGGAGCAUCUAGCUUGAGGUAAUCUGUCAUCUUUACCUUGCUCCCAUCAGCUGAGCUAGGUCUAGGAGGUUGAGUAACUGGGGCUGCUGGUUCUGUAGGUGGUGGAGGUGGAGGUGCAGCAUUCCCCGAGGUGGGGAUUGCCGGGUUUGGAUAGAAGGGUGAGGGUGGAUAAGCUGGGUACUGUGUGUAAGGUGGAUAGAAAGGUGGAUAAGGCAUGUAGGUAGGGUAGGGAUUAAAGCUGGAGUAAUCCGAUGUACCUCCCAUCGGAUACCCUGAACCCUGUGGGAAGGGUGGAUAAUGGGGUGGAAAACCAUACCCCGAGGCCUGAACGCCUCCCUGAGACUCCCCUGUCCCUUCCUCCUCCAUGCUCACAUCCAGGUUCCCAUCCCUCCUCUGAUCCUCUUCCAUAACCUCCCUCACACCUGAAGAACUUCCUCCUCUAUCAGUCCCCCUUCUGCUAGCAUCAAAAGACCUUCUAGGGUCCCUUGACACUCUUUCUCUGUUGGCUCUACAAGACAUUGCCCUAGGCAAUGUAGGAGGACGGGCGCUCGUGCCCUCAUCCUCAGGCGGCACUCCAGUCAAUCUUGCAGAUCGACGGGUUCCUCUCAUCCUAUUUUCUGAAAAAAAUAGUACACAUCAUACAACAUUAGCAUCAUAUGGUUCAUGUGGGCACACAUGAAUCCUCAUCACAUAGCAUAGCAUAUCAUUAAUGCACAUGCAUAUAAUCAUGGCAUUUCACACCAUCAUACAAGACAGGACUCAACAUCCUAUCCUAGUGGACAUGAUCUUCCUAUUGUGCUUGACCUUCUAUAACAUCUAUGAGCCUGACACUCUAGGUCCGACCAUAUGAACCUAGGGCUCUUAUACCAUUUUGUAACGACUCGAAAAUCGGACCGCUACCGGCGCUAGGAUCCGGGUCGACUUAAGGCCGCCGGGACCCGUAGCAAGCC